CCUACGGGAGGCAGCAGUGGGGAAUAUUGGGCAAUGGGCGCAAGCCUGACCCAGCAACGCCGCGUGAAGGAAGAAGGCUUUCGGGUUGUAAACUUCUUUUCUCAGGGACGAAGCAAGUGACGGUACCUGAGGAAUAAGCCACGGCUAACUACGUGCCAGCAGCCGCGGUAAUACGUAGGUGGCAAGCGUUAUCCGGAUUUACUGGGUGUAAAGGGAGUGUAGGCGGGACUGCAAGUCAGAUGUGAAAACCAUGGGCUCAACCUAUGGCCUGCAUUUGAAAAUGUAGUUCUUGAGUACUGGAGAGGCAGACGGAAUUCCUGGUGUAGCGGUGAAAUGCGUAGAUAGUAGGAGGAACACCAGUGGCGAAGGCGGUCUGCUGGACAGCAACUGACGCUGAGGCGCGAAAGCGUGGGGAGCAAACAGGAUUAGAUACCCGAGUAGUC
rnacentral:rRNA from 1 species